rnacentral:rRNA from 1 species
GAUGAACGCUAGCGGGAGGCCUAACACAUGCAAGCCGAGCGGUAUUUGUCUUUCGGGACAGAGAGAGCGGCGUACGGGUGCGGAACACUUGUGCAACCUGCCUUUAUCAGGGGGAUAGCCUUUCGAAAGGAAGAUUAAUACCCCAUAAUAUAUCUGAUGGCAUCAUUAGAUAUUGAAAACUCCGGUGGAUAGAGAUGGGCACGCGCAAGAUUAGAUAGUUGGUGAGGUAACGGCUCACCAAGUCAGUGAUCUUUAGGGGGCCUGAGAGGGUGAUCCCCCACACUGGUACUGAGACACGGACCAGACUCCUACGGGAGGCAGCAGUGAGGAAUAUUGGACAAUGGGUACGAGCCUGAUCCAGCCAUCCCGCGUGAAGGACGACGGUUCUAUGGAUUGUAAACUUCUUUUAUACUGGGAUAAACCUACUCUCGUGAGGGUAGCUGAAGGUACAGUAUGAAUAAGCACCGGCUAACUCCGUGCCAGCAGCCGCGGUAA